UGAUCCAGCUUCAACUGCACAAAUGAAGGCUAUAUAUCAGGGGAUGGCAGAGUAAUGAAACAGAAGGAACCAGGGUCCCGGAAUGACUCUGUGGAACAGAGAUGCCCCACCAUCUAGAAUGGGAGAAGACAAACAUCUACAAGCAAAGGAGAGAGGACUCUGAAGGAAACAACCUUGCCAACAUCUUGAUCUUGGACCUCUAGCUGCUAGAACUGUGAGAAAAUAAAUCUGUUGUUUAAGCCAC